CCCUUAGAUGUUCUGGGCCGCACGCGCGCUACACUGAUGCAUUCAACGAGUUUCUUCCUGGUCCGAGAGGAAUGGGUAACCUUUUGAAAGUGCAUCGUGAUAGGGAUAGACUAUUGCAAUUAUUGGUCUUCAACGAGGAAUUCCUAGUAGACGUAGUUCAUCAGACUGCAUCGAUUACGUCCCUGCCCUUUGUACACACCGCCCGUCGCUCCUACCGAUUGAAUGCUCAGGUGAGCCAUUCGGACUUUCAUCAUGCUGGUUUCCAGUUUUGAUGAAGGAAAGUCUUGCGAACCUUAUCAUUUAGGGGAAGGAGAAGUCGUAACA
rnacentral:rRNA from 1 species